UAAAUACACAACGCUAGAGCGGUUUGGGGCGUCACACUCCCUCCCACGGGUCGUCUGGGUGGCACUUCAGCUGACAGAGAGGACUGUCAAGAACUUCAGCCAAGAUGAGGCUGAUGUGUGUGUUGGUGGUGGUUGUACUCGUAUGCCUGGCCACAGAUACCCACGCUGGGCCUUCCUACGGGAGGUAUCUCACCGGAGCCAGAAACAGAUCUGGUGGUCGCAGGAGGCAGGGAAAUCAAAGGGGCCACCGCACCAACAGACUGAACAGUGUUAAUAAACCCCCUAACCGGAGUGGGCGUAUGCGCUCCAGGCCUCCCUCUGGCCUACCAGGAGCUCACUUCCUCCCAGAUCCCUACGCCUUUGUCAACUCUGAUGUCUACCCGGCCGUGUCCUUCAAAUGAUGUCUUCUCAGCUAUGCCCCUCAUCUGUUUUCUGUCUACCCAAGUGUCACUACGGUCAUUUUAACAAUACUGGGGUUGUUAUAUCAGUCAACGGUGUACUCUUAUCACUUCACAUUACUUUUAAAGUAAAUAUCUAAAACGUGAGAGAUGACAGAUACAUUAACAGUAAUAUUUCAUCUGAUACUUGUUCAAGUGAGAGUGUUAUUCAGAAAAAAAAAGAAUGGCCAGAUUUUAAUAUACAGAAUAACCAUUUAAUAAUCUGUGUAUUUUUUCAAUGUCCCCGUACUACUCAAGUCGGAUUUAGAAUUGUAUGGAAUGUUUAUUACGUGUGUUUAAAAAAAUCGCAUAUUUCAUUUUUUUUAAUGUUAUAUACAAAUGAAAUCCUGGAAUUUUACAGAUAGUCCUGCAAUUUUAGGAAAAUAUAUUCAUAGGCUCACUCAUAUUUUUGUUUUAUCUACAUGUACUGUAUAAAGUUCAUCUUAAUAAUGCUGAUAUAUGCACACUUGUUUAGUGAAUUAAAUUUUUAAAUGAUUAACACGUAAGUAUGACAGCUAAAUCAGUUGUGUCUUUUCUUGUUUAAAUUAGGUAAGACAGUCUGUACACUUCUGUGGCUUGAGUGCUAUUUAGCUAUACAAUAUCUUCGUUAUAAACUAAGCCUCUGCUCGUCUGCCUUCCCAAGCAAGCAGAACCAACUAUCAUACCGUUUUGGUCUUCAAUAUUUCUUUUUAAUGUGUGGUUUGGCCGUUUAAGCAACCGCCUUCAAUUUUACCCAGAAUGUUUUCAUCCGAUGAGUAAAUUUGCUUAUAUCGGUUUUUUAGUAUUAUUUCUCCCGAUUUCACCUGAUACUAAAUGUAUAUACAAAAAAUUACACACAUCAAUAUUAACAACAACAUAUUUACUUACGGUUUGUAUAAUAUCUUGUUACGACUGUCACUUGAUACCCAAACAAUCACAGCUCUGGUUCAUCCCAUUGUUGUUUUACAAUUUAACUUUUAUCGCCUCGACUUUUAAUUGUUCUUUGCAGGGUUUUUUUUAUAUGGUACUGUAAUUAGCGUUAGCGAGGCUGACCAUCAAAACAACGCGAUUGUUCUGUUCGAAUUUUUUCACAAGAGGUAAUGGCGGCUAUUAGAGAUUUCAAAACUUUCAGUCGAAUACAUUGCCAUGGCAAAUAAAACACUGUUUAAAAACGAUUAAUACGUACACCACUUACUUCACUGUAAGAUUUGUUCAGUUAACAUUCAACCUCAGCCUUGUUUACCACAAUAAAUCACACUCUUCGUUAAUCACUGACUUAUGGUAUACUCAACUCCGGGUAACCCAAAGCGACUGAGUGUCAAUCACUGCUGUCACCUGCUCUGUGAAAUCUCUAUUUUAAACCCUUGUCUCAUUAUGGACAUGGGAAGAGGAAACUGGAGCUUGACAAUCUAGAAACCAAACAAAUAUUUCCACCUGUUAUUCUUGCAAUUCGUCUUCGAGAAAAAGAGUACGCCUAUUUUCUUUUAGUGGCUCUCGUGGAUUUGUGAUUCCUUCAUGUAGACUUACUGUACAUCCCCGCCCCCCUUUUCCUGGAAUAUAUAUUCAACUACUGCUGUCUCAAGAUUUUCCAUAAAACCUUGACAAUAAUUCGUAUGUCUGAUUCCUCCCUCAGUUUGUUCUUUGUAGUUUAUUUUUUUCUCCCUCAAUUAUUUUAUCCUUAUUUUCAGAUAUUGUAUAAUAGUUGACUUACCUUCCUUUCCUUGAUAUAACUUUUAACAUCUGCAGAAAAAUUUGCAUAUUAAAUAUAGUCACAGUAUACAGUAUUUGAAUUUUCUCGCUGUAUUUUCACUCUGGUGAGUAGAGAAUAUUUAAGGAAAUAUUCAGAGGACUUGGUUAAAUAAGAUUAUUAAACAUUUAUUUUUUUUAACUUUACUUUCAGAUUUCCACAGUGAUUUGCCAUAAAAAUCGAAAUCCUAAAGGUACAGAUUUUCUCAAUGUAUUCAUUAUUGUGGUUAACGACGAUGAUGGCACACGUGUGACAGCCCCAACAAUUGUCUUAUAACAUUAUUAGUCGUUCUGAAAAAAGAAAAGGAAUCUAGCUGCAAUAAUAUUCACAGAAAAAUACACUCCAUAAUCUACAAUGGACCUAAACGAGAUAACAUUCAUACCAGAGCUAUUCAAGCAAAAAUCGAAAGGAUUUGAUCCAGUGGUUGCAGAUGAUCCUUUCAUAAGUUAUGCAGUGCUGAAAGAUUGCUGCAGCCUGUUUGCUUCAGGUGGCCCUUGUAUCCCCAACUAUGUCACCAAAGAGCCCAUUGUCUCUAAUAUCAUACAAUUUUCUGAUGAUGUUUGGAAUGAUAUAGCAAAGGGUCACAAAGAGAGGGAGAAGAGAGAGAGAGAAGCAGAGAAAGAGUUGGAGAAGGAAAAAGAAAAAGAAGAAGCAGUAGCUCAUCAGAUAAAAAAAAAAUUGGACAGUGAAAUAGACGGUGUCUUCAACAAACAUUGCUUUUUUCUCAAGAAGCCGUGCCCUGUUUUGAUCCCGUAUAAAUCCUCUCUUACUCAUGAUGAGCAUGAGGCAUACCUUCGAGCUUUUCUUAAGUUCAAGAUCAGAGCUGCCAAGACUGCUGCUGAAACAGCUGAAUAUCAACAUUACUUGAGACUUCAAAAUCGUGUGUAUGAAGAACAGAAUUGUUUCAUGCAGUUCUCACAUCAGGUUGCCAGGCUACAGAUGACAGCUUACAAUAAAGUUCCGGAUGUAAUAACUAAUUAUAUAGAUGAAUAUGUACAGCACCGAUGUAAACGUUCUUGCAAGUAUGAGAGUUCAUAUGUUGAUGAGCAGCAAAUACCUAUUUGUCCACAAGACCCAAAGAAGAGAUUCAACAGUUUAUGUUUUACCCACAUUGGUCACCUGUUAAGUUUGGGAAGCAUACCAUGGAUAAAAAUCCCCAACUGCCAUGUUGCAAACAAACUUUUGGUAGAUGAAUCUGUAUCAAUACAGCAACCUCCAGCAGUAGAUAAGAAAAAAGACCUUAAGGACAUCCUUUACAAAACUCCAGUGAGUAAAGAUCACAAUGCUGCAUACCUGGCCCAGAAACAUGAAGCCAAUAUAGUCAUAUCAAGCAGUGCAUUGAAGAUCAUAGCAGACAAUUAUGGGCCAAACUUUGACAAGGAGUGGGAUAUUCCUGUUGAAGUGAAGUCAUAUCCUGUAAAAGAUGCUGAUGGAAGUGAAAGGAAUCACAGAGUAGUGUUCAUUGACAAGCCAAUGGUCAAGAAAACUUGGACUCCUAUGGAAAAGAAGCAGUUGUUUUAUAAAAAAUCUGCAUUAGCAUCAUUGACGGAGAUUAAGCGAGUGCCUUUUUUCAGAAUGAAAUCUCCACUGGGUUUUCAAUAUGAAAAGAAAGAACAAACUGAAUGCACCCAGUACGAUGAUGAUUUCCUCGACUUGACAUCUACAGCAAAUCAUGAUACCUUUGGUGCUCAGCCAGCUGUUGUGUCUCCAAUCUCUAAAUCUCCAAAGAAAAAAAGGAUGGCAAAAGCGAGUGAAGCUGAAAAAUCUCCAAAGAAAAAAGGAAUGGCAAAAGCGAGUGAAGCUGAAAAAUUGCUACCUGUUGUAAAAAGAGAAACUAAUUCCACUGACGAAAGCUGUAAUCCACUUUUGAUUGAUGUGAAGAUAGAAAAUGAAAAAGACAAAAAUAUUGAAAUUGAAUCACACAAUGAACUCGGUUCCAGUUAUGGUAAAAUUGAAAAAGAAAGGAAAGGGAAUAAAAAUUCAAAGAAAUCAAAAACCAUGAACUCAAAUCCUUCAAAAAUUAAUAAUGAGUCUGGUCUUCAAAAAACAACUAUUAAAAGAGAAGAUACCAGGGAGCUUCAGCCAAAUAACUCCAGUAAAUCAAAAUAUACAGAACCUCCAGGAUGUAGCAGUGGUGGCGGUGUCUUAGAAAAUCUACUUGACAUGCAAGAGUCUUUGUUUAAUUCAGCACAAGCUUCAAAUCCCCAAAAAUUAGAGAAGAGCAAAGGAUCACCCACAUCCCAUAUUGAGAAACCUUGGUCAGGCACACUGCAUACAGAAUGGCAAGAACAUACGCAGAGACAAAACUGUCCCGCUUGGUCUGGCAUCAAUGUACAUUAUCAGCUUUUUUCACUUGAUUUUAGCAGUUCAGAUCCCGGCAAUACUUUACAACCCUUCCGCAUCAUAGUCCGGCAUAAUCUUCAUGGAUUGUCUAGAUUUAGAUCUAAAAAGGAGUCAAGCCAAGCAUACAUUGUGUACCCAAAACCAGAAAGUCAAGCAUAUUUUGGAUGUGAAGUCAACACACUAUCUGAAAUUGUACAGCAGUGGAUUCACCUCUUAGUGCGUCCUAAUACAACACUUCUUCAAGUACGUAUGUGUGAGGAUUCUGGCGAAAUCCUCAUAACAGAGGAAAAAGAUUUAGCCACAGUCUUGAAGGAAGGGAAACAACCACAUAUUGGAUUUUUACCUCAUCAGCCACUGGCAACACUGUACUCCGUAUUUUCAGCAGUUGUUGGCAUAGCAACUGGACAUUAUCUCCUUCAUCAUGACUCUAAGACAAAUGCUUUUAUCAAACUUUUAAAGGCAACAGAUUCAGACAAGCAGACGUUUAUUCAAAAAUACCAUCUUCAUACAGUUUAUUCAAUUACUUCUCCAUUCACCCGGAUGUACACAACACCUCCUUGGCUUGCUAUUGACACUCAUAUUCUCACACCGUUUCAUAUCAAGCAUUACAAGAUUCCUGCAACCUUUCCUAUGGAAAAUAUUUCGAAGAAAUUGUCAUUCACAAGGAAGAAGAAAAUAAGAGAGAACGCUAAGAAGAAGAAAAAGUUAGAAGAUCUUUAUAAAGAGAAGGAGAGUGAAGAAACUUAUGAAUCCUCAGAAUAAUAGAGAAGAACUCAAGUAUGGUAGAAUGGGAAAGGUGUCAAUCACACAGACUUGGUGGAUUGAAAUAUUAAUGCAUGGAAGUAUCCAAUUGUGGCUCUUGGAUCACUCAACGACUGCCCCGGAGUCAGUAGAUACCCAGCAGGGAUCAAUAUAUGAAACGAUGGCACCGAUUCGGCAUGAUUAAUCUGCUCCACUGCCUCGUGGAACCAGACCCCAGACUCGCCAUGUGUCCGGCUACCACCGACCACAGCAACGGUAGUGAGCCCCAGUGUUCUACCCUGGUAGUUAUAUGUCCACAGAGUGUGUUGUAAUAUGUAUGUUGGGGAUAAUUAGUUGGAAAUAAUCCUCCCAUGUUGGGUAGUGGACCCAUGUAUGUGCUGGUUUCAGUAUUAACGUAUAUGUUGUGAGUGCAUCUCAUAUGCACUACCAACCGUCAGUAAGUGAUGUAAGGUACCUUGUAAUGUGUGAGAAGUAAAGUUGUCCACUUGGGACUAGGAGUAAAGUCUUGUAACUGUAUUGAGAUGUACCACUAGAAGAUGUGGGUGAAGUAGAAGUACCCACUUGGAGUGGCAGUAAAGUAAUCUACAAGGAGUGCCAUGUACUAUGUAUUGUGAGUAGGGCCAAGGAACUGG